UUUUCAAAGAUCGUAUCAACAGUCACCAUCUAAAAGCUGCCUUACACGGAUCCAUUCUCCGUCCUGAGAAAACCUGGCAUGAACAUAAGUCAGGGAAAUUAGAAUUUUAUCUGGAAUAAGUUGCCCACACUCCAGAGCUUGUCAGAUCUGCACUUGACCACAUACUAUAAAUACGGUACUGAUGUACCUGCACUGCCCAGUUCAGAUUCAAGUGAUUGAAUUUGGAAAGAGAUAUUUGCAAAUACAACACAUAAACCCUGUUGGCAGCUUAGACAGUAACUUCAGACUGUAGUUAAACACGUCCCUAGAACAUACCCUGUGGAGUUUUUAUUGUCAACAUGGCUUUGUUUACAUUCAACAAACAUUGUAUGUAUCCUGAAGGCCUAAAAAAUAUUUUUUUAACCCCAUACAGCAUUUGCAAUGCCUGUUUCUGAAUAUUUUAAGCCAUUUUUUUCCAAUACAGCUGCAACCUUCUACUAAUGUGUUAAUGGGGCCUGGCUACUUUUUAUGAGCCAUUAAAAAUUGAUUACA